rnacentral:tRNA from 1 species
UGCGGGGUAGAGCAGUUGGUAGCUUGUCGGGCUCAUAACCCGGAGGUCGUAGGUUCGAGUCCUGCCCCCGCUA